rnacentral:rRNA from 1 species
UACGAGGGGGGGCAAGCGUUGUUCGGAAUUAUUGGGCGUAAAGGGUGCGUAGGCGGUUUGGUAAGUCUGAUGUGAAAUCUAUGGGCUCAACUCAUAGUCUGCAUCGGAAAACUGCCGGGCUUGAGUGCGGUAGAGGAGAGUGGAAUUCCCGGUGUAGCAGUGAAAUGCGUAGAGAUCGGGAGGAACAUCAGUUGCGAAGGCGGCUCUCUGGACCAGCACUGACACUGAGGCACGAAAGCGUGGGGAGCAAACAGG